GUUCUGAUAGUUUUCUUUACAAUUUGCUGCUAGAAUUCAAAACUCAUUGUGUGAUUAAUGAUGGUGAGCCAGAUGGGCCAAACCAUGAUCCUAUCAGCAGCAUGUUUCAUUGUAGUGGUGCAUCAUUGAUGGGAUAAAUGGACUGGUGCUUAUAUAGUGAUUUUCUGUUUUCAUGUGGACUAAAGUAGUGGACUGACCAACAGACUGACAUUAACAUCAGAGCCGUGCUGCUAGUGUGGCUAAAAGAAAAGAGAAGAAGAGACAGUCAUGUUGAUAUGAACAUUAGAGAAACACAUCAUGGAGCUGAAAUAUGAUCCUGCUUCCUCAUUUGGACUCAUUCACCUCAGCUGACACGUUCAACAGCAGACAGGUUUUUGUAGCAGUCUGUCUCACUGUGGGAGGAAAUAGCUACUUCAUCUUUGGCUCUGGAACUAAACUGUCUGUAACAGAUGGAAAUCAGAGCACCCAGAAAAGAACGACACAGGCACCGAGAGUUCCUGCAAACACACAGCAGAGCCCCACCCGACCAGCAGCAGGACCCAGAGUCCACGUGGAGGGGAACAGCUCCCUGCUGUGUGUGCCCCCAGCCAUGUUUCCUCACCUGGUCCAGCUGUCGUGUAAAAGACAGAAGAAGAACGGCCGGCUGGAGGAGCUGCCCCCUGCUGAUGGAGAGCAGCUGGAGCUCAGAGAGUCGGGACGCAACACCUCCAUCUUACUGAUCCAUCAGCAGGAGAAAAGCACAUAUAAAUGUACCUGCUGGGUGAAGCACGAGGGGGGCACAGUGGAGGCCCGAACACAACAAGAUUAUGUGCCAUCUAUGUUCGAGGUGAAGUCGAUCUACAUGCUGUACACAGUGCUGAUAGUGAAGAGUCUGGUGUACUGCUGUGGACUCUCUCUGCUGAUGAUGCUCACAAACAAGGGAGCGUCCACCAACUGCACACAUGCUGACUGACUGUUUCCUGCUCGCCUUUUCUCACCAUCACAUCUCAUCAAUUCAUCUCAUUCAUCACUUUGAUCAGUGUUGUGUUUAUGAUGUAGUUCAUUCCGCUUCUAUUUUGCUUUUAUAUUGCAUUUUUAUGCACACUGUAUUCUAAAGUAAUGUAUAUAUGGACAGUUAUGGAUCAAAUGGAAAUUCCUAUAAUAAACUGAUCACUGAUCAAAAUAAAUGUGAUUUUUAUUGUCUAGUUAUUUUGAUUUUUAAUUUGGUCAUGUAUUCUAAAACAAAAAAAUAAAGCUUCAUAUUUUAUCAUUGUUAUAG
ensembl:lncRNA